UACGUAGGGUGCGAGCGUUGUCCGGAAUUAUUGGGCGUAAAGAGCUCGUAGGCGGUGUGUCACGUCGGCCGUGAAAACCUGCAGCUUAACUGUGGGCGUGCGGUCGAUACGGGCAUCACUGGAGUUCGGCAGGGGAGACUGGAAUUCCUGGUGUAGCGGUGAAAUGCGCAGAUAUCAGGAGGAACACCGGUGGCGAAGGCGGGUCUCUGGGCCGAUACUGACACUGAGACACGAAGGCCAGGGGAGCAAACGGG
rnacentral:rRNA from 1 species